GCCUCAAAGGGCUUUUUAUUCUUUUGUCGCAUAAAAGCCCCACCUUCGCCUCCCUCGUUUUCCCUCACUCUCUUAUUCUCUCAAUCUCUGGACUCUCACUCUUCUCUCUCAAAGCUCGAUCUCUCUCGCUCUCUCUCUCUCGAAUUGUCAAUCUCCCUCCAUAUGCUCACUCUCUCCCUCUGCAACCACCGUCUCUAUCUCUCUCUCUCUCUCAAAGGGGUCGAUCUCUCUCCCUACUCUAAUUCUCUCUCUGCAGGCGCUAUCUCUCUCUCUCUCAAAGUGCUCUCUACCUCCUCUCCCUGUAUUCUUACAUCCCAUUCUACUUGACAUGCCAAAAAUUAUGGUACUCUUCUUGUCCUGAAUGUUCACCUCUAACCUCCCUUUCCAUCUUGCCGCACUUUCUAUCAUCCCCCACACCCUUCUCUACUAUGAUACAUAUACUAUGGCUGACCCAGCAAUAGACCAAGGACUUAAGCCUGAGCUCUUGUACAUACAAAGCAAUCACGUCAAUACCGAUGUUCGGAAAGGAGUGAUAAAUAACUCUAUUGGAGCUCGACAAUGUCUAUCUUCCUGAUACCGUUGCCAAUAUCUACCUUUAUAGCAAGUGACAUUCUAUGUCGUUUCGUGAAAAUAUUAAUUGCCUCUGUUGCAGAUUGGCAGAGUACAACGCAGUUGCAACACCUGGAUUCAGCGUUGGCUGAUGAUUUGGGACCCAACGCCCUAAAACACGUAUGGCUGCCCAUUGGGAGCUGACCUUGCAGGCAGUCGAGGAGAAAGCAAAGCUAUCGGGGUCUGGCUCUAACAAGCAAGUGCAUGCAGCCAAGGAGGUCGCUAGGGAAGAGGUCUCCGUGCUCAAGGCUGCGAGGCAAACAAAGAGACCCCCAGGCUUGAGCCUGUAGGGGAAGUUGGAGAGGAGCCACGAUUCAAUCCCCGACCACGAAGGGGUCCAAGCACUGUCCUACACCGGACCCGGCUAGGGUCGUAGCCGCCUUGAUGAAUGAUCUAGUUAUGGAAUUCUGAUUGCCCGAGCAACGACAAAACAGUACAUGCUGACACAUCCAACAAAAUGAGGGUCUGGUAUUUUUUUCUUUGGUAUUUAUUUGUAUUUGAGGGUAGAAAAUAUGUUAUGUGAUCGUUUUGUUCCCCAAUUUAGAAGUACUUGCUUAUGGAUCUU